UACGAGGGGUGCAAGCGUUGCUCGGAAUUAUUGGGCGUAAAGGGUAGGUAGGUGGUCUCAUUUGUCUGAGGUGAAAGCCUUGAGCUUAACUCAAGAAGUGCCUUAGAAACGGUGAGACUGGAGUAUUGGAGAGGGUCGUGGAAUUCCCGGUGUAGCGGUGAAAUGCGUAGAGAUCGGGAGGAACACCAGAGGCGAAAGCGGCGACCUGGACAAUUACUGACACUCAAUUACGAAAGCGUGGGGAGCAAACAG
rnacentral:rRNA from 1 species